CGCAAGCCUGACGGAGCAAGACCGCGUGAGGGAGGAAGGCCUACUGGUUGUAAACCUCUUUUGAUAGGGAAGAACACAAUGACGGUACCUAUCGAAUCAGCCUCGGCUAACUCCGUGCCAGCAGCCGCGGUAAUACGGAGGAGGCAAGCGUUAUCCGGAAUUAUUGGGCGUAAAGCGUCCGUAGGCGGCUAAUCAAGUCUGCUGUCAAAGCCCACAGCUCAACUGUGGAGAGGCAGUGGAAACUGAAUAGCUAGAGUGUGGUAGGGGCAGAGGGAAUUCCUGGUGUAGCGGUGAAAUGCGUAGAUAUCAGGAAGAACACCAGUGGCGAAGGCGCUCUGCUGGGCCAUAACUGACGCUGAUGGACGAAAGCUAGGGGAGCG
rnacentral:rRNA from 1 species